rnacentral:rRNA from 1 species
UCGGGAGGGGAUUAGUGGCGAACGGGUGAGUAACACGUGGGCAAUCUGCCCUGCACUCUGGGACAAGCCCUGGAAACGGGGUCUAAUACCGGAUACUGAUCAUCUUGGGCAUCCUUGGUGAUCGAAAGCUCCGGCGGUGCAGGAUGAGCCCGCGGCCUAUCAGCUUGUUGGUGAGGUAAUGGCUCACCAAGGCGACGACGGGUAGCCGGCCUGAGAGGGCGACCGGCCACACUGGGACUGAGACACGGCCCAGACUCCUACGGGAGGCAGCAGUGGGGAAUAUUGCACAAUGGGCGAAAGCCUGAUGCAGCGACGCCGCGUGAGGGAUGACGGCCUUCGGGUUGUAAACCUCUUUCAGCAGGGAAGAAGCGAAAGUGACGGUACCUGCAGAAGAAGCGCCGGCUAACUACGUGCCAGCAGCCGCGGUAAUACGUAGGGCGCGAGCGUUGUCCGGAAUUAUUGGGCGUAAAGAGCUCGUAGGCGGCUUGUCGCGUCGGUUGUGAAAGCCCGGGGCUUAACCCCGGGUCUGCAGUCGAUACGGGCAGGCUAGAGUUCGGUAGGGGAGAUCGGAAUUCCUGGUGUAGCGGUGAAAUGCGCAGAUAUCAGGAGGAACACCGGUGGCGAAGGCGGAUCUCUGGGCCGAUACUGACGCUGAGGAGCGAAAGCGUGGGGAGCGAACAGGAUUAGAUACCCUGGUAGU